rnacentral:sRNA from 1 species
GAGCAGGGGCUGAGGCGCGUGACAUGUC